UAUGUGCCCCGGUAGAGAAACCCUUCUACCGUAUUAUAUGUUGAGCUGUGGCACUAUGUGUGUCAAGGGUUGGACUGCUCUGGGUGAAAGAGUGAGAUGAGUCGUUAGCUCUAUGCCGCUCAUCAGGCACUCAUAGGUUCAGUAGCCCACUGUUGCUCGUCCGAUUCAGUUCGGGACCCGUUAGCUCUCUAUUUAAGGGUAAUUAAUAGCCCCUGUAGGAAUAUCGUCCUACAUAUCAGAAGUGGGAUAGGGUCCGCGUGUGCCACUGCGUGUGGAAAACCGUGAAAAUCACGGCGCGAGUGAAAAAAUAAGUGAAAAUUGCGGCGUGGACGACGCAGAGGGCAGCGAGAACAACAUGGCCGCCACCGUGUGGAAGAAAAAUGCGGCGUAGAAGCAGCGAAAAGUGGCUAGAUGAGACUGCGAAGACCAUCGAGAAGCGCCCCAGCAACUGUGUGGAGGAGCACCCGGCGAUGGAAGUAGCGCAAGUACCCCUGAGUGCCCCCCAGUAGAAGAAAUAAAGAGAGAAAAAAUUGAGGGAAAUGUGUUCUUUAAGUUUUGACAUUCAUGACGAAAUUCUGAGAAAUUUUUGGAGAUUCCAGAAAUUUCCGUGUUAACCCUUUUGUGUAUGCUCUGUGUGAAUGGUGGCCACCCGCACAAAAUAAUUGUCUUGUCUUGUCUUGCAAUGACAUGUCGUAACAGGAAUUCCUUUUCAGGCAUUACAUGAUAUUUUAUGCUAAAUUACAUAGGAAAAUCCAUACAUGAAAAUGCAAAAAAUGUUUAGAAGUGUUUCAUGCGAUAGUGAAAUUAGCCGUGUUUCAUGAAACAAGUUUCGACAAGAUUGAUGAAACACGAAAUGUUUUUGUUGGAAUUUGACCACAUCGUGACAUUUCGUUCGUGCCGAUUAAAUGCUCGGGUUUUGUGUCACAUUUUGUUGUUUCAUGUACGUCAAAUAAGCAUUCAAGGUAUUUUGCGCAUUUUGUGAGAAAAUUCGAGGAAAUUUCAUUAAAAUAUCGCAAAGAAAUUGCUGCAGAGAAACACAAAGUCGAGAAGGCAAAACAACACGGUUGCCAUGCCCAUGGGAACAAAGAAGCUAAGCGCAAUAAUCCAGCGAUUUGAUCCAGAUUUACCGACUGCAUUGACACAGAGGAUUGGCUUGUAGAAGUUGAAAAUGCGCGUUGAUGAUGGGAAGAGAGAGUGACAAUUCUAUGUGCAUCCAUGAGAUUGAGAGGUCAGCUGAAAAAUGGAUCCAUAGAGCCAAAGCGAGACUGGAUAAGUGGGCAAAAUUAUGCAAUGAAUUGUUGCAAUUCUUUCCUACCGUUGGGUAUUUGAGGACAUCAUUGUUGACACAAACUUUUGAAUCUCUCACACAACUUCUCCGCGUGCUAAUUGAUGCGGAACAAAUCAUUGAAACGUAGACGAUUCCAAGCAAGACAGGCGCUAUUCCAAGCGCAACUCUGGGUAGAAUUCAGGCGAUACCAUCCGUACCACCAUGGCAAGAAGAAUGACAAUGUGAAGCACACAAAGAAGCCAAAAAGGAGAAUGAGUAGAAAAGCACCGAAGAUCGACGAAGCUCUGAGAACUUUGCUACAGAUGCAAGAAGCCCGGACCGUGAAAAAUUAUUUCCCUGAAUAAUAGAUGAAUUCCAAGUAGAGAAGAUGAUUCAAAUGAAUUUCGGGGAGGUACGAAAACAAAGUAGACGUGAUUGAUGUACCGGAAUGAGAAGUUUACUAAAAAAAAAAAAAGAAUCUUAGGCCUACUGAGUGUAAAUCAAUAAAAGAAAUUAAAGAAAUGUAUUAUUAUUUAUCCAAGAUUUAA